GGACCUUUCCCUAGUACGAGAGGGCCGAGAAGGACGCACCUCUGGUGUUCCAAUUAUUGUGCCUACAGUAAACGUUGGGUAACCAAGUGCGGAGCGGAUAACUGUUGAAAGCAUCUGAGUAGUAAGCCCACC
rnacentral:ncRNA from 1 species